CUUCCCCGGAGCUGGCGUGAGCGCAGACAGAACCAUCAGGCUCAACGUGUCCUAUGCACCCCAGAAGCUGACCAUCAGAGUGUUCCGGAAGGAAGACACAGGUAGGUCUAAACCUCUCUUCUCCAGGGGUGUGGUGGAAGUGGAAGUGUCUCUGCCCUUCGGAGCAGAGCUGGGGAUCAGAACUCAGACAGCAGAGAGGCUCAGGCCCGGGGAGGGGACAGCAGAGGUGGGACAACCC